rnacentral:rRNA from 1 species
CGCGCAGGUGGGAUUUUAAGUCCAUUUUGAAAGUUCGGAGCUUAACUCCGUGAUGGGAUGGAAACUGGGAUUCUUGAGUACCGGAGAGGAAAGCGGAAUUCCCCGUGUAGCGGUGAAACGCGUAGAUAUGGGGAGGAACACCAGUGGCGAAGGCGGCUUUCUGGACGGUGUCUGACACUGAGGCGCGAAAGCCAGGGGAGCGAACGG